UGUGGGUUGUCUGAGCAAGGG
rnacentral:miRNA from 1 species